UCCCUUUUCCAAUUUUAUUUUUUUGUUUCUUUUUCCCAAAAGCUUAAAUGCAGUUUUUGAAGCCCUUGCAAGCUUUUUCAGAAGUUGAAGUAAAAAGAAUAAUUGUUCUCCACAAAAUUCUCUACAACUUUGCUUUAAGAUGCAAGUUCAAAUUCCAAACAGAAUUUGAAUCACAAAUUAAAACUAGUUCUAGGUUUUUAAAUAAAUUCAUUUUGGGGAUUUUUGGUAUAAAAUCCAUUUCUCAAUUUCUAGAGCUCCAAAAAUUUCACAAAAUUAUCCUCAAUUCCUCUAAAACAUAAUUCAACUUAUUUUGGUCUUUUACAAGAAAAUUUAAAGCAAGCAUACAAAUUAUAUCAUAUUUAAUUCAUUUAAAUAUAUCACAUAAAAUCACAACAUACAAACUACCAUGUUUAGGUGAUGCUAUGCUCAUGCUA
rnacentral:lncRNA from 1 species